GUUUGCUGCCGGAUAGGCAGCUUAGAAA
rfam:Burkholderia glumae PG1 chromosome 1, complete sequence.